rnacentral:rRNA from 1 species
CCUAACACAUGCAAGUCGAACGGGAAGCGGUGCAUAUUGCUUCGGUGAUAAUGUGCCGUGGAGAGUGGCGAACGGGUGCGUAACACGUAGGUAACCUGCCCUGAAAGGGGGGAUAACCACGGGAAACUGUGGCUAAUACCGUAUAAUCUCGCCGUGGCGGUGGUUACGGUGAGGAAAGCUGAGGCGAUUUGGGAGGGGCCUGCGGUCGAUUAGCUGGUUGGUGGGGUAAAGGCCCACCAAGGCGAUGAUCGAUAGCUGUUCUGAGAGGAAGACCAGCCACACGGGAACUGAGACACGGUUCCGACUCCUACGGGGGGCAGCAGUGAGGAAUAUUGCGCAAUGGGGGGAACCCUGACGCAGCAACGCCGCGUGGAGGACGAAGGUUUUCGGAUUGUAAACUCCUUAACUGGGGGAAGAGAGAGGACGGUACCCCAGGACGAAGACACGGCUAACUAGGUGCCAGCAGCCGCGGUAAUACCUAGGUGUCGAGCGUUAUCCGGAAUUACUGGGCGUAAAGGGUGCGCAGGCGGUGUUACAAGUCCGGCGUGAAAGCUUCUGGCUUAACUGGGAGAGGACGUCGGAAACUGUAGU